rnacentral:rRNA from 1 species
AAAGGGGAGCAAUCCCUGAGUAGAGUGGCAAACGGGUGAGUAACACGUGGGUGACCUGCCUUCGAGUGGGGGAUAACGUCCCGAAAGGGACGCUAAUACCGCAUGACAUCCUGCUUUUGGAAAAGCGGAGAUCAAAGCCGGGGAUCGCAAGACCUGGCGCUUGAAGAGGGGCCCGCGCCUGAUUAGCUAGUUGGUGGGGUAAUGGCCUACCAAGGCAACGAUCAGUAUCCGGCCUGAGAGGGCGGACGGACACACUGGGACUGAGACACGGCCCAGACUCCUACGGGAGGCAGCAGUGGGGAAUUGUUCGCAAUGGGCGCAAGCCUGACGACGCAACGCCGCGUGGAGGAUGAAGAUCUUCGGGUCGUAAACUCCUGUCGAGUGGGAAGAAUAGCUUCCGGGCGAAUAUCCCGGGAGCCUGACGGUACCACUAAAGGAAGCCCCGGCUAACUCCGUGCCAGCAGCCGCGGUAAUACGGGGGGGGCAAGCGUUGUUCGGAAUUACUGGACGUAAAGGGCUCGUAGGCGGCCAACUAAGUCGGAUGUGAAAUCCCCAGGCUCAACCUGGGAACUGCAUCCGAUACUGGAUGGCUUGAAUUCGGGAGAGGGAUGCAGAAUUCCAGGUGUAGCGGUGAAAUGCGUAGAUAUCUGGAGGAAUACCGGUGGCGAAGGCGGCAUCCUGGACCGACAUUGACGCUGAGGAGCGAAAGCUAGGGGAGCAAACGGGAUUAGAUACCCCGGUAGUCCUAGCCCUAAACGAUGAAUGCUUGGUGUAACGGGUAUCGAU